rnacentral:rRNA from 1 species
CUACGGGACGCUCCAGUGGGGAAUAUUGGACAAUGGGCGCAAGCCUGAUCCAGCAAUGCCGCGUGAGUGAUGAAGGCCUUAGGGUUGUAAAGCUCUUUUACCCGGGAUGAUAAUGACAGUACCGGGAGAAUAAGCUCCGGCUAACUCCGUGCCAGCAGCCGCGGUAAUACGGAGGGAGCUAGCGUUGUUCGGAAUUACUGGGCGUAAAGCGCGCGUAGGCGGCUGCUCAAGUCAGAGGUGAAAGCCCGGGGCUCAACCCCGGAACUGCCUUUGAAACUAGGUAGCUAGAAUCUUGGAGAGGUCAGUGGAAUUCCGAGUGUAGAGGUGAAAUUCGUAGAUAUUCGGAAGAACACCAGUGGCGAAGGCGACUGACUGGACAAGUAUUGACGCUGAGGUGCGAAAGCGUGGGGAGCAAACAGGAUUAGAUACCCGUGUAGUC